AGAGUUUGAUCAUGGCUCAGAUUGAACGCUGGCGGUAUGCUUAACACAUGCAAGUCGAACGGUAACAGGCCUUCGGGCCCUGACGAGUGGCGGACGGGUGAGUAAUGCGUAGGAAUCUGCCUGGUAGUGGGGGACAACUUAUGGAAACGUAAGCUAAUACCGCAUACGCCCUACGGGGGAAAGCGGGGGACCUUUGGGCCUCGCGCUACCAGAUGAGCCUACGUCAGAUUAGCUAGUUGGUGGGGUAAAGGCCUACCAAGGCGACGAUCUGUAGCUGGUCUGAGAGGAUGAUCAGCCACACUGGGACUGAGACACGGCCCAGACUCCUACGGGAGGCAGCAGUGGGGAAUAUUGGACAAUGGGCGCAAGCCUGAUCCAGCCAUGCCGCGUGGGUGAAGAAGGCCUUCGGGUUGUAAAGCCCUUUGUCCGGAAAGAAAAGCAUUCCGGUUAAUACCCGGGUGUGAUGACGGUACCGGAAGAAUAAGCACCGGCUAACUUCGUGCCAGCAGCCGCGGUAAUACGAAGGGUGCAAGCGUUACUCGGAAUUACUGGGCGUAAAGCGUGCGUAGGUGGUUCGUUAAGUCUGUCGUGAAAUCCCCGGGCUCAACCUGGGAAUGGCGAUGGAUACUGGCGGGCUAGAGUGCGGUAAAGGAGAGUGGAAUUCCCGGUGUAGCAGUGAAAUGCGUAGAAAUCGGGAGGAACAUCAGUUGCGAAGGCGGCUCUCUGGACCAGCACUGACGCUGAGGUACGAAAGCGUGGGGAGCAAACAGGAUUAGAUACCCUGGUAGUCCACGCCGUAAACGAUGUCAACUAGCCGUUGGUCUUAUUCGUAAGAUUCGUGGCGCACUAACGCGAUAAGUUGACCGCCUGGGGAGUACGGCCGCAAGGUUAAAACUCAAAUGAAUUGACGG
rnacentral:rRNA from 1 species